rfam:Triticum urartu cultivar G1812 contig868046, whole genome shotgun sequence.
GUAAUACUCCCUCCGUCCCAAAAUUCUUGUCUUAUACUUGUCUAAAUACAGAUGUAUCAAGUCACGUUUUAGUAUUAGAUACAUCCGUAUCUAGACAAAUCUAAGACAAGAAUUUUGUGACGGAGGGAGUAGUAU